ensembl:rRNA 5S_rRNA 5S ribosomal RNA
UCCCGCAGCUAGUUCUCUGCAACUAUCACAUAGUCGCCCUCUGAAGCUAAGCAGGGCUGCACCCGAUCAGUACCUGGAUGGGAGAUCACAUGAGAAAACUAAGUUGAUGCUGGAG